CAAAUGGAAACUGUCAAUGUCUUCAUUCCUCCUCCUCUUCAUCUUCUUCUUCUUCUUCUUUAAUGAUAAUACUUUUGAUGUGAGCAAUCAUGGGCCAGUACUCACCAGAUUGUGGCUGACAUUUUCUGCACAAUUCAGGACAACCAUCUAUGUACAAUUCUUCAAGGGCGGUGAGAUUAUGUAUGCCACUAGGAAGGCUCGAUAGUUUAGGACAACCCCUAAUGACGAGCCUUUUAAGAUGAGUCAUUGUUGUCAGACACUCAGGAAACGUUUGAAGAUUAGGAAGUUCAUAAAUUCUCAAGAUCUCUAAAGUUUCUGCAGCACCUUCAAUCCAUCCAGGCAAUGUCAAAAGCCUUGGAAUAUUGUCAAUAAGCAAAUGUUUCAGCAUCAAUUUUUGGACUGGGCUUUCAUUGUGCAACGACAAGUUUAACAUCUUGGAGCUCCUAAUUGCUAGACACUGUAAUUUUGGAAAAAUAUAGAGAGGUAAGGAUUCUAGGCUCCCACAGUUAUCCAGAUACAAUGUUUCAAUGGAAGUGAGCUGUUGUGCACCAUUUAAUACAAACUUCAUAUUUUUACAAUCUUCAAAUACCAAAACCUGAAGAUUGAUCAAGUUUGCAAAUUCAGUCAACGACAAAACUGAUUGUUUGGUCGUUAUCCACAAAUGUCGAAGGCUAGUCAACUUCCCUAAUCCUCUUGGCAAUGUUUCAAGCUCUGGGCAUCCGUUUAAUGCCAAGUAUUGCAAUUUAUGGAGUUCGAAAAUAGAAUCCGGAAGUCUUUUGAUUUUCUUGUUAUUAGAUACAAAAAGAAUAUGCAGGUGCUUCAAUUUACCAAUUGAGUUAGGCAGGGUCUCAAUUGAAGAAUAAUCCAAAUCUAAAAAUCGCAAGUAUUUAUAUCUUGAUACCCAUAUAUCCAACAAUGAUUCAUUGUCAAGGCCCACCCCUUCAACGGGAAAUAAAAUAGUUCUUACACUUUUGGAUUUAGGGAACAAAACACAAUCAAGUGAAUCAUUUUCAAUAAUCGAUAUAUGCGUUGCUUGUUCCGAUAUUUUCCGAGUAUUUGAGUCUACUGUUACAAACUCCUCUUUUGCAACAUACAAUGCAAGAUCAUGUAUCAAAUCAUGCAGUUUGAAUACGCUAAGGCCCCCAAAUUCAAUGAAAUCCUGAAGCAAUGAUCUUGAAUGUAACUCAUGUAUAUAUUCCCUAGCAAUAUGCUCUAGCUCUUCAUUUCCAUUAGUGGAUUUAACUAAUCCAUGGGCCAUCCACAGAGUAGUAAUUUCUAUGACAUCAAUGGAUCGAUUUUUGGGAUACAUGGAAAAAUAAGCAAAACAUUGUCUCAAAUAGGAUGACAUUUCAUCAUAGCUUAAUUUUAAUGCAGGUAAAAUGUCAUCUUUCUUCUGUUCCAAAUCCCAUAUCUCAUGGUCUCUUACGAAUAUCCACUUAUUUAAAUCAUAUUUUGAGAACAAGGAACUUCCCAAAGUUUUGACGGCCAACGGAACUCCUGCACAUUUUUUCACAAUUUCUUUUCCGGUCUCAACUAAAUUUGAAUAUUUUUCUUCUUCUCCAUCCUUGAACGCACAUUUCACAAACAAAGACAAACAAUUCUUUUGUGAAAGACCUUCCAAAACAUAUGAAGGAACAGUACCCAUCAUUGAAGCGACUGAGUUGCUACGUGUCGUCACUAUGAUUUUACUUUCUCCUGCACCAACUUUGAUCAUAUCAGCCAACUCAAUCCAUUUUGUACGAUCAUCAUUCCAUAUAUCAUCUAGCACGAGGAUAAACUUUUGACCAUCAAGUUUAUGUCUUAGACGAAUUUGCAGUUGCUCAAUAUCAAAGUGGUUAAUAUCUUCUUGGUGAGCAAUAGCAACACCAGGUGGAGAUGAAGCUGAAAGGAAGGCAGAGUUGAUAAUUUUGAUAAUUAUUUUCCUAAUAUCAAAAUCAUUGGACACACAUACCCAAAUCUUCAAUUGGAAAACAUCAUCUAUCCUCUUAUCAUUGAAUACCAACUUUGCAAGUGUGGUCUUCCCAAGUCCUCCGAUUCCCACAAUGGGAAUGACACACAUACAUUUAUCACCGUCACUGUGGGGAUUGGAUUCCAUCAAAAGCUUGAUAAUUGUUUCUUUGUCGUUCUCCCUCCCGAUGACACUUGAAGCAUCAACAUGGGAAUGAGUGAAUUGUCUCCUUUGCAGAGAAUGUUCGGGUUCAACAUCGAUUUUCACAAGUCCAAACAUGGUUCCAUCAGCCGCUACCUUAUUCAAUCUAUCCCUGAUCUCUUUGAUUUGACGUGCCAUCUUAAAUCGGAAAGCAAGUGGAUUAGAGGGAGAAAAGAAGCGGCGUACCUUCCUCCUAGUGCUGCCAGAAACUUCCAGAUCUUGUUUUUUCUUGUGUUGCAACUCAAAUUCAUCCAAUACAUCUUCUGCAUCAUAGCAGAUGUUUUGAAUCUGCCUUAGCCAUUCACGCAAGGCAUGUUGUUGGUUCUUCUUGUGCUCAGCAUCCAACAACAGACCUCUGACAAUUGACAGAGUAUCUUUGAUCCCUUGUAGAUCUUCAUACACACCAUAGGCACGAGAAGCUUCUUCAUAAGCAUAAGAAGCAAGUUUCCCUAAGAGUGAAUCAGCAAUAUUAAAAACAAAUGAUUCUGCCAUAUUGGUAAUGAGGAAAGAGCAGAAAUGGUGUUAGUAUCUAAGUUUCUGGUUUGUGUAUAUCAAAAUAAACCAAUAGUCAACAUUGGUAAUAGCCAGAGUCUUCUUCACUUGUUGGUAUGUAUAUUAAUAUUGUGUGUACUGUAGAACUUUAAUGAGUGGAACCAUAACCAACUCAUUGGUAAGUAUGUAUAUUAUUAUUGUGUACUAUAGAACAUUAAUGAGUGGAACCAUAACCAACUGUUCAUGCAGUACAUGAGUUAUUAUGUUCAGAAAUGGGCAAAAUAUCAUGAUAUUUUAAGCAAUAGUAAGUUAUAUUGCUUUCCUUUAUUACCUAUGGAUGGAAGCAUCGUUUGGUAAUUGACAGUCUUCUUCACUCCAUUUUAAAUAUUUUAGGACGUUGAGGAUUGAAAUCAGAUUAAGCUCUGACAAUAUUAAAAAAAAUUAAAUAAAUAAUAAAAUAAUUUGAUUGCAUGAUUUAUAAAAAUCAAAUAGUGGAUUAAGAAAGAACAUUACUAGCGAAAAUGGUUCAUUUAUAUUUUGCAUGCUAUAUGGCAACAGGCUUAAAACUCCAUCAGCAACUUAUCAAUGAUUUAAUAAAUGGAAUCAACUGGUCAAAGUGAAGUAUCUCUUCAAGUAGAAUUGAAAUGAAGUUAAAUGUGGCUUUCUAGUCUCAGAAUUGUUCCAGAUCGAGUUGCCUUUGAGGCUGAUCUCAGGCUUCAUAAUUUUUUGGUUGAUCUUUCAAGCUCCAAGCUUUCUAUAGAUAAGCACUAGUUCCAAAGGUCCAAUUGGUGAUUCUCCUCCCUCUAUUUUCAUUGCUUGACCAUGUUAUCACUGAGUUUGCACAGUAUGUAUAAUUAACAAAGCACAGUAUGCACAGUCCCUAUGGUAGGUACUAUACCUAAGUUUGAUCCAAACAUGAACACGAUAUCGAUUACCAACCAUAUAGGCUCCCUGUAAAAGAGGAGAUUCACUGCCAUUAGUCUCAAUUCCUUCAGUGGGGAGGAAUGUUAACAAAAGCCAUAGCCAGUUAAAUUACCUUCAACUUUUCAACAAAUGAUAAAUAUUGAGUUUUCUAAUAUGUUCUACCAUUCCCUAAUACAGAUUGAAAACGCUCUAAGUGUUGCAACAAGCAGCACCUAUUUUUUCCAAAAGAUAUAAAAAGAAACUUAAAUACAGUCUACAAUACUAGUGAAAGAAGAUUUAUUUAUUAAUUUGUUUUGCUUCAUACCAAACAUGUUCUAAAUAACAGAAUUGGUAAGUCUCUCAAAGCUGAUUAAGAGUUCCAGUAGCUCAACAUAAUUCUCGUCCUCAAUGAUCACUCUUUUGAUGUGAGCAAUCAUGGGCCAGUACUCACCAGAUUGUGGCUGACAUUUUCUGCACAAUUCAGGACAGCCAUCUAUGUACAAUUCUUCAAGGGCGGUGAGAUGAUGUAUGCCACUAGGAAGGCUCAAUAGUUGAGGACAACCCCUAAUGACGAGCCUUUUAAGAUGAGUCAUUGUUGUCAGACACUCGGGAAAAGUUUGAAGAUUAGAAAGGUCAUAAAUUGUCAAGGUCUCUAAAUUUUCUGCUGCACAUAUCCAUCCAGGCAAUGUCAAAAGCCCUGGAAUAUCGUUAACAAACAAAUGUUUCAUCAUCAAUUUUUUGACUGGGCUUUCGUUGUUCAACGACAAGUUUAACAUCUUGCAGUCUGCAAUUACUAGAGACUGUAAUUUCGGAAAAAUAUGGAGAGGUAAGGAUUCUAGGCUCCCACAUGAAUACAAACACAGUGUUUCAAUGGAAGUGAGCUGUUGUUCCCCACUGAAUACAAACUUCAUAUUUUUACAAUAUUGAAAUACCAAACACUUAAGAUGGUUCAAGUUUACAAAUUCAGUCAAUGUCAAAACUGAUUGUUUGGUUGUUAUACUCAACAGUCGAAGGUUAGUCAUCUUUCCUAAUCCUUUUGGCAAAGUUUCGAGCUCUGUGCAUCCAUCGAGGUACAAGAAUUGCAAAUUAUGGAGUUUGAAAAUAGAAUGAGGAAGUCUUUUGAGUUUAUUGUUAUUAGAUAGACCAAGACCACGCAGGUGUUUCAAUUCACCAAUUGAGUUAGGCAGAGUCUCAAAUGAAGAAUCAGUCAAAUCUAAAAAUCGCAAGUAUUUAUAUCUUGAUAUCCAUAGAUCCAACAAUGAUUCAUUGUCAAGGCCAACCCCUUUAACUGGAAAUAAAAUAGUUCUUACACUUUUGGACUUGGAGAACAAAACACGGUCAAGAGAAUCAUUUUCAAUUAUCGAUAAAUGUCUUGCUUGUUCAGACAUAUUCCGAUUAUUUGAGUCUACAAUUACAAACUUCUCUUUCGCAACAUACAAUGCAAGAUCAUGUAUCAAAUCAUGCAUUUUGAAAAAGCUAAGGUCCCCCUUGUCCGUGAAAUCCUGAAGAAAGGAUCUUGAAUGUAACUCAUGUAUAUAUUCUCUAGCAAUAUGCUCUAGUUCUUCACUUUCAUUCGUGGAUUCAACUAAUCCAAGGGCUAUCCACAAAGUAGUAAUAUUUAUGACAAUAAUGGCAUCAUUUUUGGGAAACAAGGAAAAAUAAGCAAAACAUUGUCUCAAAUAGGAUGGCAUUUCAUCGUAACUUAAUUUUAAUGCAGGUAAAAUGUCAUCUUUCU
rnacentral:lncRNA from 1 species